AUUUUAAUCUGCACAAGCCGCAAAGGAAAAUUCGCCAUGCAUUUUCUUAUAGCUGGAGACUGUGGUCAUUGCCUGAGAUCAAAGACUGUUUGGAAGAAGCUGGAUUUCAGUCAGUCCACUUCUGGAUCCGACAUAUGCCUGACAGCGAAGAUAUCAGAAGCACAUAUGGGCUUGCUGCUGGACGAGACAUAAAAUAUGAAGAGGUUACAAGUUUUCAACAACAAGAUUCAUGGAACGCAUACAUUGUAGGUGUUGCAUAGCUGCUAUAUCUGCCUCAUUUUCAUGAAAGUGGGCUUAGGUAAGACGUUAUUCUUCAUUUCGUCUGAAGCUAGAUCAGCAGAUUGAAUUACGCGUGUCUUUUUUUGAUAAAUUUUAGUACACAAACAAUGUUGUACCCUCAUCUAUAAG
rnacentral:misc_RNA from 1 species